UUUUAAUGUAGGUAAAAUGCUUAGAAAAGAGCCUGGCACACAAUGACCACAACUGAAACAUUUGCUCUCAUAUUCAUGUCUGUAUUCUUUAAGCUGUGAGCUCUUCGAGGUAUGGAGACAUAUCUAAUUGUUCCUCAUUCCUUCAGUUUCUAGCAUGGGACCUGAUUCUGAGAUGAAUUAGCUGUUCAGAUGAAUAAGACUCGGUAUUUUUCCUUUUUCAUGAAAUUCAUUCCACUAAGCACCAUACAGGAAUAGUUCUGAGUAGUUUAGGAUCAUGCCAGAGAAGCUCAGGGUUUAAGCACUUUUCUCGUUCCAGGUAUUAGAGGGGAAGUUUUUGUUAUUGUUGUUUUUUGUUUCAGUUUGACCACACUCAGAGCCUAAAUCCCAUCCAAAGGAAGAAAUGGCAAUAAAAAAGUAGAUGGAAAAAGAGAUCCAUGGAAGAAAUUUCUCUCUGAUCUUGAUACGAAUAGAACAGGAGGAUAGCAGUGAUUCCCAGGGGCUGAAAACACAGGCCUCAGGUAAAUUGGAUCCUGGACAAGUUAUUUAACUAUUCUCAGACUCAAUUUUGUCUUCUUAA
rnacentral:lncRNA from 1 species